CAUCUACCAAAGGUCCUCCGGAUAAAGCAACGCUGGCUAGGACACAAAACGACAGUACGUUUCAUCCAUUACAAAGCCAUACCCAGUUGAGUCACUGUAUAUGAAACUCCCGCCUCUGAGAUGGCGACUUCAACUUUAUCGACAAUCCAGUCCUCUCUUAAUCGCAAACGCCUUCGAUUACCACCGCCACCGCCACUUCCACUGCCACUGCCAAUCUCAAUUUCAUUUCAAUUCCACAAAAUCGUAAAAACUUCUGCGGCUACUCUUCCUUUGAAGCGAAAGCGUAUUUGAUUAAGGGAGGUCUUGCUUUGAAUCUGCAAAGAGCUGUAAACUGGGUACUAUUUUUAAAAAGAAAAGGAAAAAAAAGGGGGAGAAAAUUAAGCAUGUUUUACCUUUUUCUUUUUUCGGUCGUUUUUAUAUUACAUUUCAUUGCGGUACUUAUAAUUUAACUGAUAACUAUAGGUUGGAUUGAAUGGGAUCUCGUUGUGUAAAGAUCCUUACUCUCUAAGUGGUGAAUAUAAACGUCGGCUUGCCUUGGCUAUUCAACUGGCUCACUGGUAAUUGGUUCUGAGCCAAGGGUUCCAAUAGUGAGAAAGCCAUGAAAAAGAUCAGAGCUGAUGAUAGAUGUUUCAUCUCCAUUAUUCUCAUCCACUCCUUCAUUUUCAGAGAAAGUAUUCUCACAUUCCUCAUCUGGCUGUUUUAAGAGCCCGGGUCCAUAUCUGGAGUUAAAACUUGGCCCAGUGUAGGAAACAUGGUCAUCAAUGGGUGACUGUGCGGAAAGGCAAGUACAAUAGUUCCCUGAAACAUGGAAAAAGAAAAAGGAUACUUUAUGUGAGUUCUUAAGCAGGGCAUAUUACUUAUCCCUUUUAUCACAUUUUGCAUGGGCCAACUAGUGACUGAACAAUCUUCAGAUUUGUGAGGAUAGUGGUUUGAAGGGUCAUUGGUUUAUGUAACAACCUAGCAAUACUACUUGUUAUUUGUAUCACGAAGUGGCUGCAAUAUUUAUGCCAAUAUGCCCACUUUGAACCUUAUCCCUUGGGAGAGAGAUCCAUUUGCCGAGUGGCCAUAAAAGGCCUUAGCCAGUGGUGGAAAAUCUAAGAGGUGGGAUGUCCUGAAAUACCUGCACUGAGGCUUCACCCUUUUCUUUUUCCAUGAACACCCUAGAUGAUGGGCAGUUGUGUCUAGCUUUAUUGCAGACAGAGAUCAGCCGUUCCUGAGACCUAAGAAGAUUAGUGGUCUCAUCCAUUGUUGAAAAAUCUUCUAAGUUGAGAUGUUUCUGACAUGAUUGACCAUCUUUGUGAGACCAUCAAUCUUUGGGUUGGACCACUGUUUUUUAUCCUUUUCUUGAAGUGAGAAUCAGCUACUAAGAUUGGUGCUAGACGCUGAGUGUGGUAGAUUAAAUUACUUUUGUGAGUUUGGCUUAUUUAUGUGAUCAUAUCCUAUGUCUGAUGCACACCUAGUGGUCUUUUUAGAAGAAAAUGAACAAGGGUUGUUUGAAUACCUGUCAAAAAAUCCUUGAAUGGUUCGACAUUAGAUUUUUUGGACCGGUGGUGCAUCCAACCUAGUAUCUGCAACAAUGAAAUGCAAAGAUAGAGUUGAAAUCAUUAAUACGUGUGCUAUUCAAAAUUCAGGAAGUGUGCACUUACCCUCAUCUCGAACUUCUUCUGUGGGAUUCAAUGUUAGUUUUGCUUCAAUUGUCACAGGGGGGGCAAGAUGUAGGAAUAUAUUUAGAUAUGCAAGGGGAACAAAGCAUUAAAAAGAAAGGGAUGGGGAUCUUUAGAACGUGGUUGUUUAAUUAGUUGGAAGUAGUGGGUGCUAGGAGGAUCUUCUGAUGGAUGCGGAUAGAGAGAAACAUUUAGAUAGAUACAAGGUUUUGGUUGGCUGUUCUUUGUCAAGAUCAAAUCAAGCUAAAGAAUCAGGGAGAGUUGGGAGACCUGCAAGUUGGGGGGUGCAACAUUUGCUAUGCAUGCUUGAUGUGGUUGUAUGGGCAAAUGAAUGCAUGGACAUAAGACAUUGAUGGAAACAUUUUAUUUAGUUCUUUCAAAUGCAUGCAUUAUGUAUAUUAUGCAAAGAAUAAUAGUGCAUCAUUUGCUAAUGGACACUUACAGCGAGUAACACACUAACAUAAUCAAAUGCCAUUACAUAUUAAUAUUUCAUUUCAAGUUGUCGCAUGUUUGCUUUUAUUUUUCAAGGUGCUCGGCCUAAUGGAUGGUGGCAUUUCUAGCAGGACCAAAGAAAACUAUUGAGUUUUCUUCGCCGUUCCAUACCGGUUUGUCACUGUAGUUGAACUGGAACCGCCAGCAUGAUUCGGGCAUGAUUUCAAUACUUUCAGUUAGGGGUGAGCA